AGAGUUUGAUCCUGGCUCAGGAUAACGCUGGCGGCGUGCUUAACACAUGCAAGUCGAACGGGAAUUACUUUAUUGAAACUUCGGUCGAUUUAAUUUAAUUCUAGUGGCGGACGGGUGAGUAACGCGUGGGUAACCUGCCUUAUACAGGGGGAUAACAGUCAGAAAUGACUGCUAAUACCGCAUAAGCGCACAGGACCGCAUGGUCCGGUGUGAAAAACUCCGGUGGUAUAAGAUGGACCCGCGUUGGAUUAGCUAGUUGGUGAGGUAACGGCCCACCAAGGCGACGAUCCAUAGCCGGCCUGAGAGGGUGAACGGCCACAUUGGGACUGAGACACGGCCCAGACUCCUACGGGAGGCAGCAGUGGGGAAUAUUGCACAAUGGGGGAAACCCUGAUGCAGCGACGCCGCGUGAAGGAAGAAGUAUCUCGGUAUGUAAACUUCUAUCAGCAGGGAAGAAUUAGGACGGUACCUGACUAAGAAGCCCCGGCUAACUACGUGCCAGCAGCCGCGGU
rnacentral:rRNA from 1 species